rnacentral:rRNA from 1 species
UGCUGCAUGGCUGUCGUCAGCUCGUGUCGUGAGAUGUUGGGUUAAGUCCCGCAACGAGCGCAACCCUUGCCUUUAGUUGCCAGCAGUUCGGCUGGGCACUCUAAAGGGACUGCCGGUGUUAAACCGGAGGAAGGUGGGGAUGACGUCAAGUCCUCAUGGCCUUUAUGACCAGGGCUACACACGUACUACAAUGGCCGAUACAAAGGGCAGCGACACUGCGAGGUGAAGCCAAUCCCGUAAAAUCGGUCUCAGUCCGGAUUGGAGUCUGCAACUCGACUCCAUGAAGUUGGAAUCGCUAGUAAUCGUGGAUCAGCAUGCCACGGUGAAUACGUUCCCGGGCCUU